GGAUGCGAUCAUACCAGCACUAAAGCACCGGAUCCCAUCAGAACUCCGAAGUUAAGCGUGCUUGGGCGAGAGUAGUACUAGUAUGGGUGACCUCUUGGGAAGUCCUUGUGUUGCAUUCC
rnacentral:rRNA from 1 species